UACGUAGGGUGCAAGCGUUAAUCGGAAUUACUGGGCGUAAAGCGUGCGUAGGCGGGUUGCUAAGUCAGGGGUGAAAUCCUGGAGCUCAACUCCAGAACUGCCUUUGAUACUGGCGGCCUUGAGUCCGGGAGAGGGUGAGUGGAAUUCCUAGUGUAGAGGUGAAAUUCGUAGAUAUUAGGAAGAACACCAGUGGCGAAGGCGGCACACUGGCCCGGUACGUGACGCUGACGG
rnacentral:rRNA from 1 species